GAUGAACGCUAGCGGCAGGCCUAAUACAUGCAAGUCGAACGGUAAGUAUUUUAGCAAUAGAAUACGAGAGUGACGUACGGGUGCGCAACACGUGUGUAACCUACCCUUUACAGGAGGAUAGCUCGGGGAAACUCGAAUUAACCCUCCAUGAGAUCACAGUGUGGCAUCACACAGUGAUUAAAACUCCGGUGGUAAAGGAUGGGCAUGCGUCUGAUUAGUUAGUUGGCGGGGUAACGGCCCACCAAGACGAUGAUCAGUAGGGGAACUGAGAGGUUGAUCCCCCACACUGGCACUGAGAUACUGGCCAGACUCCUACGGGAGGCAGCAGUAGGGAAUAUUGGUCAAUGGAUGGAAGUCUGAACCAGCCAUGCCGCGUGCAGGAAGAAGGCCUUCUGGGUUGUAAACUGCUUUUGCCAGGGGAUAAAAAGACCAUGCGUGGUUAAUUGAAGGUACCUGGUGAAUAAGCCACGGCUAACUACGUGCCAGCAGCCGCGGU
rnacentral:rRNA from 1 species